AAAGAUCACCAAUCAAUCAAUAUCUCAUGAUUUACUUACAUAUGGGGUUUCAUGUAAGUUCCAAGAAAACAAGGGUCCGUUUUUCAUUUAAGUGAAAGGUUUGGGCAGUUAUUGCAAAUUAUCUAUUUUAAAUGUAUUUCUUCUUCCGUGUGACUUUUUUUUUUUUAAUUCCACCCAGUCUCUCUCUAUCUCACUGGUCCCUCAAGUCCCCCACCUUCCUCCUUCAACACGCUUUCUCUCUCUAAAACCCCUUUCUUCACUCUAAAGUUCCAAACUUUCCUUCUGGUUUUCUCAUAUUAGGGCUUUUCUCAGCUCACAGCGGCAGUAUGGUAUGUUGAAUCACUCUCUCUGUCUUUACCUGACCUCGUCUGCUCUGCUUUCGUUGUGUGGAUAAUCAUCAAUGUAUUAACUUUUUUUUUGUUUGCUGGAACCCUUUUAAUUGUACAGGUUACUCAGGAUGCACCUUCCCUACUAGUGCCAGUGGCUCCGGUGGCAGCACCACUGUGACACCAGGCACAACCAAUCCAAAAGGCGGCAGCACCACACUUCCUGGUGGCAAUGGCAACAGUCCUUUUUCAGGAACCUCCUCAACCAAUGGAGUUUUUGGAAACAAUAGCACUGGGAUUAACCCGGACUACACGACAGAGAGCAGCGCGUUUGCUCUCAGGAACUCAAGCACAUUUCUCACCUACCUUCUCUUGAUCGCUUUGAGUGGAUUCUGUUCUUUCAUGAUGCUCUAAGAAUGUUAACUUUCUCUGGUUUUGUUGGUGAACUUAUUGUCUCAAAGGACAUUGAGUCUAGCUUAGUGGUAAUCGCUGUCUGGCUGUUUUGAGUCUCUCUAGCUAUGUUAUGUUCUUGUUGUAAG